rnacentral:misc_RNA from 1 species
ACACCCUCCCCAGUAACUUCACAACGCACAGUCAGAAUACCAUAUAUAGAAACAGACUAUAGAUGGCUAUUUCCCUUGCAGACACAAAAGGAAAAAGGUAGCAUCAUCUCCCCGUUCGCUGCAAUCUUUGAAGAAAAUGCCAAUGGAGGUAUUACAAGUCUUUAAAUACCAAGACCAUUCCAGAAGGAAACCCUUCAAUGACAAUUAAGUGAACACUGUGACACGAGACUCCCAGCGUUCAUGAAUUGAUCGUGAUGUGGUCACUAGCUGUGGAACAACAGGUGUGCUAGGCAGAGCUACACCAAACAAGAAGUCUAAGAUGGUUGUCACGUUUCCAACAGUCGCAGACAAAUCUGCCCAAUGACUUCACUGGUACAGGAGGCAACAAUCUCCCGCACUAAUGUAGCGUGUUAACGACAGCGGCAGUCUACGUACAUGGUGUUGACAGACUGAAGUCUAUGUUCAUGUGAUGUGCAAAUGUUUAGAAAAAUGGAUACCACACAGACUUGAUCAGCAGACAGGCAGAACCUCACUGACGAAUGCAUGAUUUGUCCGAAUGAGGUGGAGAUAUACAAAACACUGUAACCACAACAAUGUCCAACUCCACCACAGAGAUAUCAACUCCCAUGUCAAUUAAUGACACAACAUUGACAUUCAUCAAUCAAACAACCCUGGCCCUUCUGAACUUGACUGAUGCAACAAGCCGGAUCGUUGUCAAGGACCACCCAAGUCCAUUCGGGAAGUGCUACACAUGGGAGGAUGCCCAACACACAGUGUUCCAGUUGGCCAAUUUGUGCAUGGCCAUCUCAUUUCUGACUCCAAGCAGCUUCCAGUAUCAUGUGUUCUUCCUCCGAUGUCUUCUCCUUGUGGGCUUCGUGUUCUUCCUCCUCUGGGCAGGGCUGUUUGUGUGCAUGAUAGAUAUCCUUGUAUGGAAUGCCAUCUUUGUGGCAGUCAACCUCGGACAUAUCGGAUAUUUGACAUACGUGAACUUUCCUGUGAAAAUGCAUGAUCAGAUGGAAGACAUUUAUUCAAAACUGUUCCGGCCUCUGAAAAUGUCGAGGCAAGAGUUUGCUCUGAUAUGUAAAUUAGGUACAAUGAUGACGGUACCAAAAGGUAGCAUAUACGCAGUGGAGGGAAUUUCUCACAUCGGGGAUAAAGUCUCCAUAUUAGUCAAAGGAAAGUUGAAAGUCACCUAUGGGAGAUUCUACCUGCACCACAUUGAGAUGAAUGAGUUUGUAGAUUCACCAGAAUGUGAUUCGGCUGUCCCAUAUGUAGAGACAGAUGAAAAAUACCAGGUAACAAUAUCAGCAUCAGAAGAGAGUCGCAUCCUAACCUGGCACUACCCCACCCUGCAGGAGUACCUUGACAAGGACACCUACCUAGCCACAGCAUUCCACUACAUCUUGGGCAAGGACAUCAGCCACAAGCUGUACCAGAUCCAGGAGCUCCUGCUCUCCAACCCUGACUACAUGAGGACAUUGGCCAGUAGGCAGUCCUCCAUGGUCAACUUGAGGAACAGCCUGGUCACACAAGACUCCUGCCUUAGCCUCACCAAGCUCAACAACAUUCAUAUGAGUGGGGGCCUCACCAUUGCUUCCGUAGGAGCUGCUUUGAAAGCAAAGAAGGCUGAAAGGCAAGACACCAUUGAAACCAGCGUUUGACAGUAACUCAUACUCAUGUAACCCCUAUACAUCUGUAGAUGAUUUGGGAUGUCACUGAAAUCAAAGUGUCAUUGUCAUAAGUGUAGAUACAUGAUAUUGUUAAUGCAGGUGGCAUUCCUCAGUCAACUAAUCGAUACCUUGACAGACAUGCCAGUGUCUUGAGUAUGUGCCUGUAUUUGACAUCAAACAACUGACUGUAUCACAGACAUGCUAUCAAACAUAGACAAUGAGACAUUGACAGCUGUGGUUGACAAUUGUGCAGACACUUAAACAAUGACAUGUGUUUGACAGUAAUUAACUGAUUAACAGAUGUAUGGACAUUAAUAUCAGUGUUUGACAGGUGGCCAAUACCCACAUUUCAGUUUGGUGGACAGGAUUACAGGGACUGUGUGUCAUUUGAGGAUCUACAGACAUUAACAUAAGUGGUUUGGCAAAUGAAUGAUCAAUAUUGUAGCUGAGCUGACACUUGCAUAAAAAGGCCUGUGUUUGACAGUCAUACUUUGAUGUCAAUGUAUAGCAGUCAUCUAAUCCUUUAGCUGACACUGACAAUAUAUGUGUUCAUGAUAUCCAUAGAUUGAUAGACAUUGAUAUUUGACAGAUAACUAUCGAAGAUGAUGACAUUGACCAGAAGUGAUUGCAAGUAGUUUCAACAGAUCAUCCAUUGACAUCGUUGUUUGACAGACAAUUAUCGAAGAUGUUGACAUUGACCAGAAAUGAUUGCGAUUACUUUCGACGCAUCAUUCAUUGCCAAUGACGUUUGACAGACAUCCAUCGAAGAUGUUGACUUUGACAAGAAGUGGUUUUAGGUUGUUGGGACAGAUAUACAGACUGACAUUGGUGUUUGACAGACAACUAGUGAAGGUGUUGGCAUUGACCAGAUAUUGAUGUGGACAGACAACUAGUUAAGAUGUUGGCAUUGGCCAGACAUUGACACUGAUGUUUGACAGACAACUAGUGAAGGUGUUGGCAUUGGACAGACAUUGAUGUUUGACAGACAACAAGUGAUGGUGUUGGCAUUGACCAGACAUUGAUAUUGACAGACAACUUGUGAAGAUGUUGGCAUUGGCCAGACAUUGACAUUGAUGUUUGACAGACAACUAGUGAAGGUGUUAAUUGGCAUUGACCAGAAAUUGAUAUUUGACAGACAACUAGUGAAGGUGUUAGCAUUGACCAGACAUUGACAUUGAUGUUUGACAGACAACCAAAGACCAUGUAGACAUUGAUAAGAACUGGUUGCCUGUAAUGUUUGACGGACACUGAAAUCAGUGUUUAACAGUCAAUAACACACAGAGUGUGAUAUCAGGACAAAUAUUUUUGACAAGGCAAGCACCUUUUUCUACCACGUGAGAGUUCUCAAAUCCUCCAGAAGGUGUCUUUGUAACGGCCAUAUUUGAAUGUCAGUGUAUGUAAGCAUCAAUCAUACUGAAAGGAUACAUAUCCUUGUUAUGCAGACACAUGCAUCCAGUAGUUGAUCUAUAUCAAUUAUGAAUAAAGCAUGGAACUUUG